rnacentral:rRNA from 1 species
GACGAACGCUGGCGGCGUGCUUAACACAUGCAAGUCGAACGAAAAGAGGGAAAGAGCUUGCUCUUUCCGGAAUUGAGUGGCAAACGGGUGAGUAACACGUAAACAACCUGCCUUCAGGAUGGGGACAACAGACGGAAACGACUGCUAAUACCGAAUAAGUUCCAAGGGCCGCAUGGCCCAUGGAAGAAAAGGUGGCCUCUACCUGUAAGCUAUCGCCUGAAGAGGGGUUGGCGUCUGAUUAGCUGGUUGGAGGGGUAACGGCCCACCAAGGCGACGAUCAGUAGCCGGUCUGAGAGGAUGAACGGCCACACUGGCAUUGAGACACGGUCCAGACUCCUACGGGAGGCAGCAGUGGGGAAUCUUCCGCCAUGGGCGAAAGCCUGACGGAGCAACGCCGCGUGAGUGAUGACGGCCUUCGGGUUGUAAAACUCUGUGAUCCGGGACGAAAAGGCAGAGUGCGAAGAACAAACUGCAUUGACGGUACCGGAAAAGCAAGCCACGGCUAACUACGUG